GGAUGUAAUUUAGCGUGUGGAGUAGGGACCGCCCACAGCAGAGUUAACGAAGCAUUGCUGUGGAAUGGUUUAUUCUCAACGAACGUGCGAAACCCUAUUUAUACACACUGUCUCCAUUGUGCAGGUAUGUUGUUGAAUAUGUUGUUAAAAGUUGUUAAAUUAUUUGAUUCAAAAUGUGUUGCUCAAAUUCUCCGCUAGGUGGGGAUGUUUCACUUAUAAUACGGUUUAAUUGUAUUGCUCUGUAUUAUAUUUAGGAUCUCUACUCAUGUGCUUUAUAAGUAAUUGAAAAUGUGUCACGUAUAAAGAAAUUGUUAACAUCUAAAACAAACACUAUACGAUCACAAAGUUAAAAAGAAUUCAAGAAACAGAAUUGAAAGAGCUGUUUUCGAAUAAACAGAGCAGAGUUAACGAA